UACGUAGGCAGCAAGCGUUGUUCGGAAUUACUGGGCGUAAAGAGUGUGUAGGCGGUGCUCCAAGUCUGGUGUGAAAUCUCCCGGCUCAACUGGGAGGGUGCGCUAGAAACUGGAAUGCUAGAGGAUGGGAGAGGUAAGCGGAAUUCCUGGUGUAGCGGCUGAAAUGCGUAGAUAUCAGGAGGAACACCUGUGGUGUAGACAGCUUACUGGACCAUUUCUGACGCUGAGACACGAAAGCGUGGGUAGCAAACAGG
rnacentral:rRNA from 1 species